UACGUAGGGAGCAAGCGUUGUUCGGAUUUACUGGGCGUAAAGGGCGCGUAGGCGGCAAUUCAAGUCAUCUGUGAAAUCUCCGGGCUUAACUCGGAACUGUCAGAUGAUACUGCUUUGCUAGAGUGCAGAAGGGGCAACUGGAAUUCUCGGUGUAGCGGUGAAAUGCGUAGAUAUCGAGAGGAACACCUGCGGCGAAGGCGGGUUGCUGGGCUGACACUGACGCUGAGGCGCGAAAGCCAGGGGAGCGAACGGG
rnacentral:rRNA from 1 species